AUUGAACGCUGGCGGCAGGCCUAACACAUGCAAGUCGAGCGAGCGGCGGACGGGUGAGUAAUGUAUGGGGACUGCCCGAUCGAGGGGGAUAACUACUGGAAACGGUAGCUAAUCCCGCAUACUAUCGGAUAACCCAUAUGGGAUUAGCUAGUAGGUGAGGUAAUGGCUCACCUAGGCGUCGAUCCCUAGCUGGGCUGAGAGGAUGAUCAGCCACACGGGGAAUGGAACACAGCCCAGAAUCCUACGGAGACAACAGUGGGGAAUAUUGGACAAGGGGCGAAAGCCUGAUGAAGCCAUGCCGCGUGUAUGAAAAGGGCACAUGGGUAAUAAAGUACUUUCAGUCGGGGGGAGUUUCCAACAGAAGAAGCAACGGCUAACUCCGUGCCAGCAGCCGCGGUAAUAC
rnacentral:rRNA from 1 species